AUUGAACGCUGGCGGAAUGCUUUACACAUGCAAGUCGAACGGUAGAGGGGGCAACCCCUUGAGAGUGGCGAACGGGCGAGUAAUAUAUCGGAACGUGCCCAGUCGUGGGGGAUAACGUAGUGAAAAUUACGCUAAUACCGCAUACGAUCUAAGGAUGAAAGCGGGGGAUCGCAAGACCUCGCGCGAUUGGAGCGGCCGAUAUCAGAUUAGGUAGUUGGUAGGGUAAAGGCCUACCAAGCCAACGAUCUGUAGCUGGUCUGAGAGGACGACCAGCCACACUGGAACUGAGACAAGGUCCAGACUCCUACGGGAGGCAGCAGUGGGGAAUUUUGGACAAUGGGCGAAAGCCUGAUCCAGCCAUUCCGCGUGCAGGAUGAAGGCCCUCGGGUUGUAAACUGCUUUUGUACAGAACGAAAAGGUCUCUAUUAAUACUAGGGGCUCGUGACGGUACUGUAAGAAUAAGCACCGGCUAACUACGUGCCAGCAGCCGCCGUAA
rnacentral:rRNA from 1 species